rnacentral:rRNA from 1 species
GAUGAACGCUAGCGGCAGGCUUAAUACAUGCAAGUCGAGGGGCAGCAGGACGGUAGCAAUACCGUUGCUGGCGACCGGCAAACGGGUGCGGAACACGUACGCAACCUACCCAUAACUGGGGGAUAGCCCGGGGAAACCCGGAUUAAUACCUCGUAACCUUAUGAAGUGGCAUCGCUUUAUAAGUAUAGCUCCGGCGGUUAUGGAUGGGCGUGCGCCUGAUUAGGUAGUUGGCGGGUAACGGCCCACCAAGCCUGCGAUCAGUAACUGGUGUGAGGACAGGACCAGUCACACGGGAACUGAGACACGGGCCCGACUCCGACGGGAGGCAGCAGUAAGGAAUAUUGGUCAAUGGACGCAAGUCUGAACCAGCCAUGCCGCGUGAAGGAUGAAGGUCCUCUGGAUUGUAAACUUCUUUUAUAGGGGAAGAAAUCUGAAUAUUCCUAUUCAGUUGACGGUACCCUAGGAAUAAGCACCGGCUAACUCCGUGCCAGCCGCCGCGGUAAUAC